CGCCUCUUGAAUCAUUAUAAGAGGUCCAGCCUGCCCAGUGACUUUGUUCAACGGCCGCGGUAUCCUAACCGUGCGAAGGUAGCGUAAUCACUUGUCUUUUAAAUGGGGACCUGUAUGAAUGGCAUCACGAGGGUUAUACUGUCUCCUUUUUCUAAUCAGUGAAACUAAUCUUCCCGUGAAGAAGCGGGGAUAAUUUUAUAAGACGAGAAGACCCUAUGGAGCUUUAAACUUAAUAACAUAUACUGAUUCUAUUUUAACUUCCAGAAUAUUAACUUAAACUUUAGUACAAUGAUUAUUAGUUUUAGGUUGGGGUGACCGCGGAGUAAAAAUUAACCUCCACAUUGAACAGGACCUAUUCUUGAACCAAGGGCUACAACCCUAAGCACCAAUAAAUUGACAUUAAUUGACCCAAUAUUUUGAUCAACGAACCAAGUUACCCUAGGGAUAACAGCGCAAUCCACUUCAAGAGCCCCUAUCGACAAGUGGGUUUACGACCUCGAUGUUGGAUCAGGGUACCCCAGUGGUGCAGCCGCUACUAAAGGUUCGUUU
rnacentral:rRNA from 1 species